rnacentral:rRNA from 1 species
GAGCGGCAGCACGGGUACUUGUACCUGGUGGCGAGCGGCGGACGGGUGAGUAAUGCCUAGGAAUCUGCCUGGUAGUGGGGGAUAACGUUCGGAAACGGACGCUAAUACCGCAUACGUCCUACGGGAGAAAGCAGGGGACCUUCGGGCCUUGCGCUAUCAGAUGAGCCUAGGUCGGAUUAGCUAGUUGGUGGGGUAAUGGCUCACCAAGGCGACGAUCCGUAACUGGUCUGAGAGGAUGAUCAGUCACACUGGAACUGAGACACGGUCCAGACUCCUACGGGAGGCAGCAGUGGGGAAUAUUGGACAAUGGGCGAAAGCCUGAUCCAGCCAUGCCGCGUGUGUGAAGAAGGUCUUCGGAUUGUAAAGCACUUUAAGUUGGGAGGAAGGGCAGUUACCUAAUACGUGAUUGUCUUGACGUUACCGACAGAAUAAGCACCGGCUAACUCUGUGCCAGCAGCCGCGGUAAUACAGAGGGUGCAAGCGUUAAUCGGAAUUACUGGGCGUAAAGCGCGCGUAGGUGGUUCGUUAAGUUGGAUGUGAAAUCCCCGGGCUCAACCUGGGAACUGCAUUCAAAACUGUCGAGCUAGAGUAUGGUAGAGGGUGGUGGAAUUUCCUGUGUAGCGGUGAAAUGCGUAGAUAUAGGAAGGAACACCAGUGGCGAAGGCGACCACCUGGA